rnacentral:rRNA from 1 species
AGUGAACGCUGGCGGCAGGCCUAAUACAUGCAAGUCGAACGGCAGCACAGCAGAGCUUGCUCUGUGGGUGGCGAGUGGCGGACGGGUGAGGAAUACGUGGGAAUCUGCCCAGUCGUGGGGGAUAACGUAGCGAAAGUUACGCUAAUACCGCAUACGAUCUACGGAUGAAAGCGGGGGAUCGCAAGACCUCGCGCGAAUGGAGCGGCCGAUGUCAGAUUAGGUAGUUGGUGGGGUAAAGGCUCACCAAGCCAACGAUCUGUAGCUGGUCUGAGAGGACGACCAGCCACACUGGAACUGAGACACGGUCCAGACUCCUACGGGAGGCAGCAGUGGGGAAUUUUGGACAAUGGGCGCAAGCCUGAUCCAGCCAUUCCGCGUGCAGGAUGAAGGCCUUCGGGUUGUAAACUGCUUUUGUACGGUAACGAAACGGACGAGCUCUAAUACAGUUGCUAAUGACGGUACCGUAAGAAUAAGCACCGGCUAACUACGUAGCCAGCA